rnacentral:rRNA from 1 species
UACGUAGGGUGCAAGCGUUGUCCGGAAUUAUUGGGCGUAAAGAGCUCGUAGGUGGCCUGUCGCGUCGGCUGUGAAAACUCGGGGCUCAACUCCGACUUGCAGUCGAUACGGGCAGGCUAGAGUUCGGCAGGGGAGACUGGAAUUCCUGGUGUAGCGGUGAAAUGCGCAGAUAUCAGGAGGAACACCGGUGGCGAAGGCGGGUCUCUGGGCCGAUACUGACGCUGAGGAGCGAAAGCGUGGGAGCGAACAGG